GUGCUCACCUUGGCAGCACGUACACUGAAACUGGACUAACACAGAGAAGAUUAGCAUGGGUCCUACAUGCUUCAUGACAGCAAGUUUAUGAAGUGUUCCUUAUUUAA
rnacentral:snRNA from 1 species